UGCAAAUGUGUGGCAUUUUUAUUUUACUACCACUGUGGAUGAAGAAAUAUUCAUCUAUUUGAAUCUACUUCCAAAAAGUGGAACCCCAAUUCUCAGUUUGGCAAAGUCUUAACUGCGGCCUUCAAUCUUUAAAAUUACUUUCAGUAGCCCAGCUUCGACUUCCCGUUGAAUUAUUGGAAAGGUUAAAAAGUAUAUUAAAAGCAACAAAGCGAGGCAAUCAAAUAGCUUAGAUUUGCUUAUGACCAACAGAAAACGUCAAAUCGUCCCUCAUUAACGGUAUAUGCAGUGAAAGAAAGCCACGACAUUAUGUGCCAUAUCUUGAAAAUACGGCACUCCACAAAUCAUGACGCGAUGACCGUGUUUUACGAAAACGCAGUGCAAGGGGACCUUCUCCUCUCGGUUAAAUUAAACAGUUUUCCUUCUUUCUCUUCUUUCAGCCUUGUGGACAGAAUCAUUAUCACUCAUCUUUGAAAGAGUGACGAACCCGAGUUUUCCUUUGAUGAUCAGAAAUGCAAGAGCAUCAGAAAGGAAGGACAUGACGAGGAAGAAACUUCAUGGUGGUUCCGUGCGAUAGCCUAUGGGUCUUUACAUGGGUCUACUGUUGUAGUGUUCUUACACUGCAGUUGUUUUCAUUGUGGUUUUGAUUUAAUGAAGUGUUAAAAACUAUACACCGUU